UGGGGAAUAUUGGACAAUGGGGGCAACCCUGAUCCAGCAAUGCCGCGUGAGUGAUGAAGGCCUUCGGGUUGUAAAGCUCUUUUGGCGGGGACGAUGAUGACGGUACCCGCAGAAUAAGCCCCGGCUAACUUCGUGCCAGCAGCCGCGGUAAUACGAAGGGGGCUAGCGUUGUUCGGAAUUACUGGGCGUAAAGGGCGCGUAGGCGGUCCUGAUCGUCGGAUGUGAAAGGCCUGGGCUCAACCUGGGAAUGGCAUCCGAUACGGCGGGACUGGAGUGUGGGAGAGGUUGGUGGAAUUCCCAGUGUAGAGGUGAAAUUCGUAGAUAUUGGGAAGAACACCGGUGGCGAAGGCGGCCAACUGGACCACAACUGACGCUGAGGCGCGAAAGCGUGGGGAGCAAAC
rnacentral:rRNA from 1 species